ACGCUCGACACCUACGGGAGCAGCAGUGGGGAAUAUUGCACAAUGGGGGAAACCCUGAUGCAGCAACGCCGCGUGAGUGAAGAAGUAUUUCGGUAUGUAAAGCUCUAUCAGCAGGGAAGAAAAUGACGGUACCUGACUAAGAAGCCCCGGCUAACUACGUGCCAGCAGCCGCGGUAAUCUGAGCGGGCUGGCAAGGC
rnacentral:rRNA from 1 species